rnacentral:rRNA from 1 species
AUUGAACGCUGGCGGAAUGCUUUACACAUGCAAGUCGAACGGCAGCACGGGGGCAACCCUGGUGGCGAGUGGCGAACGGGUGAGUAAUGUAUCGGAACGUGCCCAGUCGUGGGGGAUAACGUAGUGAAAAUUACGCUAAUACCGCAUACGAUCUACGGAUGAAAGCGGGGGAUCGCAAGACCUCGCGCGAUUGGAGCGGCCGAUAUCAGAUUAGGUAGUUGGUGGGGUAAAGGCUCACCAAGCCGACGAUCUGUAGCUGGUCUGAGAGGACGACCAGCCACACUGGAACUGAGACACGGUCCAGACUCCUACGGGAGGCAGCAGUGGGGAAUUUUGGACAAUGGGCGCAAGCCUGAUCCAGCCAUUCCGCGUGCAGGAUGAAGGCCCUCGGGUUGUAAACUGCUUUUGUACGGAGCGAAAAGGCUCUCUCUAAUACAGGGGGCUCAUGACGGUACCGUAAGAAUAAGCACCGGCUAACUACGUG